UCUGAUGUGAAAGCCCCCGGCUCAACCGGGGAGGGUCAUUGGAAACUGGGGAACUUGAGUGCAGAAGAGGAGAGUGGAAUUCCACGUGUAGCGGUGAAAUGCGUAGAGAUGUGGAGGAACACCAGUGGCGAAGGCGACUCUCUGGUCUGUAACUGACGCUGAGGAGCGAAAGCGUGGGGAGCGAACAGGGUUAGAUACCCUGGUAGUCCACGCCGUAAACGAUGAGUGCUGAGUGUUAGGGGGUUUCCGCCCCUUAGUGCUGCAGCUAACGCAUUAAGCACUCCGCCUGGGGAGUACAGUCGCAAGACUGAAACUCAAAGGAAUUGACGGGGGCCCGCACAAGCGGUGGAGCAUGUGGUUUAAUUCGAAGCAACGCGAAGAACCUUACCAGGUCUUGAGAUCCUCUGACAAUCCUAGUGAUAGGACGUCCCCUUCGGGGGCAGAGUGACAGGUGGUGCAUGGUUGUCGUCAGCUCGUGUCGUGAGAUGUUGGGUUAAGUCCCGCAACGAGCGCAACCCUUGAUCUUAGUUGCCAGCAUUCAGUUGGGCACUCUAAGGUGACUGCCGGUGACAAACCGGAGGAAGGUGGGGAUGACGUCAAAUCAUCAUGCCCCUUAUGACCUGGGCUACACACGUGCUACAAUGGACAGAACAAAGGGCAGCGAAACCGCGAGGUUAAGCCAAUCCCACAAAUCUGUUCUCAGUUCGGAUCGCAGUCUGCAACUCGACUGCGUGAAGCUGGAAUCGCUAGUAAUCGCGGAUCAGCAUGCCGCGGUGAAUACGUU
rnacentral:rRNA from 1 species